rnacentral:tRNA from 1 species
UGGCGAGUAGCUCAGUCGGUAGAGCAGCGGGCCGUUAACCCGUGUGUCGCAGGUUCAAAUCCUGCCUUGCCAGCCA